rnacentral:rRNA from 1 species
CCUACGGGAGGCAGCAGUGAGGAAUAUUGGUCAAUGGACGAGAGUCUGAACCAGCCAAGUAGCGUGAAGGAUGACUGCCCUAUGGGUUGUAAACUUCUUUUAUAUGGGAAUAAAAUGUUCCACGUGUGGGAUUUUGUAUGUACCAUAUGAAUAAGGAUCGGCUAACUCCGUGCCAGCAGCCGCGGUAAUACGGAGGAUCCGAGCGUUAUCCGGAUUUAUUGGGUUUAGAGGGAGCGUAGGUGGAUUGUUAAGUCAGUUGUGAAAGUUUGCGGCUCAACCGUAAAAUUGCAGUUGAAACUGGCAGUCGUGAGUACAGUAGAGGUGGGCGGAAUUCGUGGUGUAGCGGUGAAAUGCUUAGAUAUCACGAAGAACUCCGAUUGCGAAGGCAGCUCACUGGACUGCAACUGACACUGAGGCUCGAAAGUGUGGGUAUCAAACAGGAUUAGAUACCCCAGUAGUC